rnacentral:lncRNA from 1 species
CUCCCUCCAUUUUGAAAUUGUUUUAUCUAUUUAAUAAUAAUAGAUUUCUACCUGAACAAAUAUAUUGUCAUCAGGCUACUGGAAAAAAAAGAGAUUGCCAUCAUUCUUUGAAUUACUGGGUAAAAAAUAUGUCAGAGGCAAACCUGAAUGUCGACUAUGAAGCUCAGAGUUUACUAGUUUUUACUGGCGAUGCCUCACCGCGUCGCGCAUUGUCCCGGAUGAUUGUGCUCUUGCACUCAAUUUCAAAAUUCAGAUCUGAAGCUGAGAGAAGUUACACCAGUAUCGAUGACACUAAUGUAGAAGAUGAUGAAGUAAGUCCUAUAGAAAAUAGUGCAACUUCUCAUUCCUUUAUAUAAAACAUUUCCUUUUAAUGAAGUCUUUUUAUUCAAUUCGAUCAUCCUUGUAGUCCUUCAUUACAUAUUUUAACAGAAAUUAUAAUGUCUAAGCUGCAGGAUGUUUAAUACAAUGAUCAAUCUUUGUCUAUUUAUACGUUAACUUAUUUGAGCAAAAAGCAUUCAUUCAUGACUAUUGAUUCAAGAAUUCUUGUAUAAUGUUUGAUGUAAAAUAAUCUCGAAUAUAAAUUUUUUUACCAGGGACAGCCAGAACUCACUGUUCUUGUUGAUGGUUCAUCUGCACAAGACAAUAGCCUCGGUAGCAAUAAGGACCGGCUUGAUUCAGAAGUUACCUCACAAACCUCGCGGGGUGAUAGUCAUCAUGGCAUUGAGCUCCUGACUCAAUUUAAAAUUAGUGAGAUUUCUGUCACCACACAUAUCGCAUCCGGGAAUGCCUCAACUGUUCCUUCAGUGCUGCCAAAGAGCCAACAGGACAAACUACAACGUAGCCAAACAAAGAAAAUAACUCAAAUCAUGAAGGAAAGGGAUUUAAAGACAUUCAAUAGUUUUGGAGGCAUCGACGGAGUUGCAGAUGCAUUGAGUACUGACCUGGUCAAGGGACUUCAUGACAAGGAUGAUAUUUGUCGUAGAAAAAUGGAAAUAGACUCUCAAAAGCAGUUCCCUGAAAGCUGUUUCUUUCCCUUACUGAUAGAUACAUGCAAAAGUUCUAC